CCUACGGGUGGCAGCAGUGGGGAAUAUUGCACAAUGGGCGAAACCCUGAUGCAGCGAUGCCGCGUGAGUGAAGAAGUAUUUCGGUAUGUAAAGCACUAUCAGCAGGGAAGAAAAUGACGGUACCUGACUAAGAAGCCCCUGCUAACUACGUGCCAGCAGCCGCGGUAAUACGUAGGGGGCAAGCGUUAUCCGGAUUUACUGGGUGUAAGGGGAGCGUAGACGGUGAUGCAAGUCAGAAGUGAAAGCCCGGGGCUCAACUCCGGGACUGCUUUUGAAACUGUGUGACUGGAGGGCAGGAGAGGGAAGCAGAAUUCCAGGUGUAGCGGUGAAAUGCGUAGAGAUGAGGAGGAACACCAGUGGCGAAGGCGGCUCACUGGACUAAAACUGACGUUGAGGCUCGAAAGCGUGGGGAGCAAACAGGAUUAGAUACCCUGGUAGUC
rnacentral:rRNA from 1 species